UACAGAGGGUGCGAGCGUUAGUCGGAAUUACUGGGCGUAAAGCGCACGUAGGUGGCGACGUAAGUCGGGUGUGAAAGCCCCGGGCUCAACCUGGGAAUUGCAUUCGAGACUGCAUUGCUGGAGUACGGAAGAGGAGGGCGGAAUUCCCGGUGUAGCGGUGAAAUGCGCAGAUAUCGGGAGGAACACCUAUGGCGAAGGCAGCUCGCUGGGACGUUACUGACGCUGAGACGCGAAAGCGUGGGGAGCAAACAGG
rnacentral:rRNA from 1 species